GUGCAACCAGUACUUGGCCGAGAUGCUCACCGAGAACCAAAUGCUUGGGCCUUUGAUGCAGGUGCUGCCCAUAUGCAGCAAGCUGUCGAGCCAAGGUUGUUGGCACAUCUUAUAACCAGGUAACUUCCACUGGAUCCUUCUAUUAACAAGCAGCUAGACCCAAGGUUUACAUGAAGAGGGAGAAUCUCGGCAGCUGGAAUUCUGGGCUGGAAAAGGAGCAAAUAUU